rnacentral:rRNA from 1 species
UACGUAGGGGGCAAGCGUUAUCCGGAUUUACUGGGUGUAAAGGGAGCGCAGGCGGUCCGGCAAGUCUGAUGUGAAAGCCCGGGGCUCAACCCCGGGACUGCAUUGGAAACUGUCGGACUUGAGUGUCGGAGAGGUAAGUGGAAUUCCUAGUGUAGCGGUGAAAUGCGUAGAUAUUAGGAGGAACACCAGUGGCGAAGGCGGCUUACUGGACGACAACUGACGCUGAGGCUCGAAAGCGUGGGGAGCAAACAGG